UACGUAGGUGGCAAGCGUUGUCCGGAAUUACUGGGCGUAAAGAGUGUGUAGGCGGUGCUCUAAGUCUGUUGUGAAAUCUCCCGGCUUAACCGGGAGGGUGCGGCGGAAACUGGAGUGCUUGAGGGUGGGAGAGGUAAGCGGAAUUCCUGGUGUAGCGGUGAAAUGCGCAGAUAUCAGGAGGAACACCGGUGGCGAAGGCGGGUCUCUGGGCCGAUACUGACGCUGAGGAGCGAAAGCGUGGGGAGCAAACAGG
rnacentral:rRNA from 1 species